rnacentral:rRNA from 1 species
GACGAACGCUGGCGGCGUGCUUAACACAUGCAAGUCGAACGGAAAGGCCCUGCUUUUGUGGGGUGCUCGAGUGGCGAACGGGUGAGUAACACGUGAGUAACCUGCCCUUGACUUUGGGAUAACUUCAGGAAACUGGGGCUAAUACCGGAUAGGGGCUCCUGCUGCAUGGUGGGGGGUGGAAAGUUUCGGCGGUUGGGGAUGGACUCGCGGCUUAUCAGCUUGUGGGUGGGGUAGUGGCUUACCAAGGCUUUGACGGGUAGCCGGCCUGAGAGGGUGACCGGCGACAUUGGGACUGAGAUACGGCGCAGACUGCUACGGGAGGCAGCAGUGGGGAAUAUGGUACAAUGGGCGGAAGCCUGAUGCAGCAACGCCGCGUGCGGGAUGAAGGCCUUGGGGUUGUAAACCGCGUUCGCCUGUGACGAAGCGUGAGUGACGGUAAUGGGUAAAGAAGCACCGGCUAACUACGUG